UACGUAGGGCGCAAGCGUUGUCCGGAAUUAUUGGGCGUAAAGAGCUCGUAGGCGGUUUGUCACGUCUGCUGUGAAAACCCGAGGCUCAACCUCGGGCUUGCAGUGGGUACGGGCAGACUAGAGUGUGGUAGGGGAGACUGGAAUUCCUGGUGUAGCGGUGGAAUGCGCAGAUAUCAGGAGGAACACCAAUGGCGAAGGCAGGUCUCUGGGCCACAACUGACGCUGAGGAGCGAAAGCGUGGGGAGCGAACAGG
rnacentral:rRNA from 1 species